UAAAAAAGACGAAAAUUUGUAAGUUUUAACACCAAUAAAGUAUUGAUUGAUAAAAUACUGAUUGAUCGAUUGAUUGAUUGAAAAGGACGAAAAGGACGAAAAAGACGAAAAAGACGAAAAGGGCGAAGAAGGACGAAUAGGACGAAAAAGGACGGAAAGGACGAAAAAAGACGAAAUAAGACGAAAGUUUGACGAAAAGGAUGAAAUUGGUUACUAAGGACGAAAAAGAGCGAAAAGGACGAAAAUAACGAAAAAGGACGAAAAGGACGAAAAAGAACGAAAAAGGACGAAAAGGACGAAAAAGGACGAGAAGGAUGAAAAAGGACGAAAAGAAUGAAAAAGGACGAAACGGACGGAAAAGGACGAACAAGACGAAAAUUUGUAAGUUUUUAACACCAAUAAAGUAUUGAUUGAUUGAUUGAAAAGGACGAAAAUGGAUAUUAAGGAUGAAAAAAGACGAAAAUUUGACGAAAAAGGACGAAAAAGGACGAAAAAGACGAAAAUGACGAAAAGGGACGAAAAGGACGAAAACGGAUAUUAGGGACGAAAAAGGACAGAAAAGGACGAAAAAGACGAAAAUUUAUAAGUUUUUAACACCAAUAAAGUAUUGAUUGAUUGAUUGAUUGAAAAGGACGAAAAGGACGAAAAAGGACGGAAAGGACGAAAAUGGAUAUUAAAGACGUAAAAGGACGAAAAAAGACGAAAAUUUGUAAGUUUUUAACACCAAUAAAGUAUUGAUUGAUUGAAAAGGACGAAAAUGGAUAUUAAGGACAAAAAAGGACGGAAAGGAUGAAAAGGACGAAAAAGGACGAAAAAGACGAAAAAGGACGAAAAGUACGAAAAAGGACGAAACAGGAUAUUAAGGAGAAAAAGGACGAAAAGGACGGAAAACACGAAAAGAACGAAUAAGGACGAAUAAGGCCGAAAAAGGACGAAAAGGACGAAAAAGAACGGAAAGGGGGAAAAGGACGAAAGGACGAGGUUGCGGAUUAUGCUGUUCUGGGGAUUUGAGGAUAAUGGUGUUCUGAGUGUUUGAGUAUUAUGGUGUUUUGAGGAUUUGAGGAUUAUGGUUUGCUGAUGAUUUGAAUGUUAUGGUGUUCGGAAUA